rnacentral:rRNA from 1 species
UACAGGGCGUGAACCGUUAAUUGGCAAACGAAUCGGAGCCACGAAGUCGUUUCGCUGAUAAGUUGGGCCGGGUUCAGUUUGGAAGUGAAAGCUUUCAGGCGUAUUCCCGUGUUCAACCUAAAAAUCAUUGCAAGCGUACACUGCAACCAGUUAGACGAUUGACGAUGGGCCCAGUUGUUUGGGUUAGUAGUAGCGGGUUCGUUCGCGUACUUGUGCUGCUGAAUCUAUGGCAAGUGGACUAUCGGCAAAUACUGACUGGCAAAAUGAGAAUCGCGUUUAGUCGCGUUUUAAGAGAAAGCAGCCGUUUGCCUAAAUGUCUACGCAAUUGACCGAUAGGUUUAAGCUCGGCAUUUUUGAAUUUGGACUUGCCAGCUACCAGUGGGGCAACUCCUGGUGCUGGAGGAGCUUCCAUCUAAUCGGGUGUCGACUUGAUUUGUCGUAGUUUAGUUGCGAAACGAUUGGGUGUUUAGUUGUAAAAUGGUUCGCAAUUGAUUGGCAGUGAGUAGGUCGGCUUUCCGAACGACCCGUCUUGAAACACGGACCAAGGAGUCUAAUUAGGCAUCGAGUCGAUCGGUCUUGAUUAGGCCAGAUAGAGUGGGUUGACCCAUUUGAAGGCAAAGAGAAAUCAUGUGAUCGUUGGGGCAAUCCUAGUUUCAACGCGCAACAUGUGCCUGUUCGUAUGGCAAUGUAGCAAUAAUUGCCGAGCGGAGCAAAGAGAUGCCUGAUUGGUACCCGAAAGAUGGUG